CCUACGGGGGGCAGCAGUGAGGAAUAUUGGUCAAUGGACGAGAGUCUGAACCAGCCAAGUAGCGUGAAGGAUGACUGCCCUAUGGGUUGUAAACUUCUUUUAUAAAGGAAUAAAACGAGGCACGUGUGCCUUUUUGCAUGUACUUUAUGAAUAAGGAUCGGCUAACUCCGUGCCAGCAGCCGCGGUAAUACGGAGGAUGCGAGCGUUAUCCGGAUUUAGUGGGUUUAAAGGGUGCGUAGGCGGGCUUUUAAGUCAGCGGUAAAAAUUCGGGGCUCAACCCCGUCCGGCCGUUGAAACUGGGGGACUUGAGGGGGCGAGAAGAAGGCGGAAUGCGUGGUGUAGCGGUGAAAUGCAUAGAUAGCACGCAGAACCCAGAUUGAGAAGGCAGCCUUCCGGCGCCCUACUGACGCUGAGGCACGAAAGUGCGGGGAUCGAACAGGAUUAGAUACCCGAGUAGUC
rnacentral:rRNA from 1 species